GACGAACGCUGGCGGCGUGCUUAACACAUGCAAGUCGAACGGAAAGGCCCUGCUUUUGUGGGGUGCUCGAGUGGCGAACGGGUGAGUAACACGUGAGUAACCUGCCCUUGACUUUGGGAUAACUUCAGGAAACUGGGGCUAAUACCGGAUAGGAGCUCCUGCUGCAUGUUGGGGGUUGGAAAGUUUCGGCGGUUGGGGAUGGACUCGCGGCUUAUCAGCUUGUUGGUGGGGUAGUGGCUUACCAAGGCUUUGACGGGUAGCCGGCCUGAGAGGGUGACCGGCCACAUUGGGACUGAGAUACGGACCAGACUGCUACGGGAGGCAGCAGUGGAGAAUAUUGCACAAUGGGCGGAAGCGUGAUGCAGCAACGCCGCGUGCGGGAUGACGGCCUUCGGGUUGUAAACCGCUUUCGCCUGUGACGAAGCGUGAGUGACGGUAAUGGGUAAAGAGGCACCGGCUAACUACGUG
rnacentral:rRNA from 1 species